CAAUAGCGUAUAUUAAAGUUGUUGCGGUUAAAAAGCUCGUAGUUGGAUUUCUGUUGGGAACGACCGGUCCGCCCAUUGGGUGUGUAUCUGGCUUGUUCUCGGCAUCUUCUUGGUGAACGUUGCUGCACUUGACUGUGUGGAGCGCUACCCAGGACUUUUACUUUGAGGAAAUUAGAGUGUUUCAAGCAGGCAUAUGCCUUGAAUACAUUAGCAUGGAAUAAUAAGAUAGGACCUCGGUUCUAUUUUGUUGGUUUCUAGAGCUGAGGUAAUGAUUAAUAGGGAUAGUUGGGGGCAUUCGUAUUUAACUGUCAGAGGUGAAAUUCUUGGAUUCGUUAAAGACGGACUACUGCGAAAGCAUUUGCCAAGGAUGUUUUCAUUGA
rnacentral:rRNA from 1 species